UGGGGGAUCGUCUAGAGGCAGGACACGAGACUUUGGAUCUCGUUACCCAGGUUCGAAUCCUGGUCCCCCAGCCA
rnacentral:tRNA from 1 species